UACGUAGGGUGCAAGCGUUAAUCGGAAUUACUGGGCGUAAAGCGUGCGCAGGCGGCUUUGCAAGACAGAUGUGAAAUCCCCGGGCUUAACCUGGGAACUGCAUUUGUGACUGCAUGGCUGGAGUGCGGCAGAGGGGGAUGGAAUUCCGCGUGUAGCAGUGAAAUGCGUAGAUAUCUGGAGGAACACCGGUGGCGAAGGCGGCUUUCUGGACAGUAACUGACGCUGAGGCGCGAAAGCUAGGGGAGCAAACAGG
rnacentral:rRNA from 1 species